GUGAGUAUAGUAGCGAACGGGUGAGUAACGCGUGGGAAUCUACCCUAGGGUGUAGGAUAACUUGAAGAAAUUCGGGCUAAUCCUGCAUAGUCUCGAAAGAGUAAAGAUGGCCUCUUGCUGUCGCCUUAGGAUGAGCCUGCGUCCUAUUAGCUUGUUGGUGGGGUAAAAGCCUACCAAGGCAGAGAUGGGUAUCCGGUCUGAGAGGGUGAACGGACACAUUGGGACUGAGAUACGGCCCAGACUCCUACGGGAGGCAGCAGUGGGGAAUUUUAUGCAAUGGGCGAAAGCCUGACGUAGCGACGCCGCGUGGAGGAUGAAGGCUUUCGGGUCGUAGACUUCUGUUAGGUGGAAAGAAAGACUUUCGGUUAAUAGCCGAAGGGGAUGACGGUACCACCAAAGAAAGCCCUGGCUAACUUCGUGCCAGCAGCCGCGGUAAUACGAGGGGGGCGAGCGUUAUUCGGAUUUACUGGGCGUAAAGCGUGUGUAGGCGGCUUUCUAAGUCGAGCGUUAAAUCUUGUGGCUCAACCACAAGGCUGCAUUCGAUACUGGAUGGCUAGAGUGUGAGAGAGAGGGGUGGAAUUCUCGGAGUAGCGGUAAAAUGUGUAGAUCUCGAGAGGAACACCGAUGGCGAAGGCAGCCCCUUGGUUCAUCACUGACGCUUUAACACGAAGGCGUGGGGAGCAAACAGGAUUAGAUACCCUGGUAGUCCACGCAGUAAACGAUGAUCACUAGGUGUCGGGAUGCAUAGUCAACUCGGUGUCGAAGCUAACGCGUUAAGUGGUCCGCCUGGGAAGUACGGUCGCAAGAUUAAAACUCAAAGGAAUUGACGGGGGUCCGCACAAGCGGUGUAACAUGUGGUUUAAUUCGACGCUACGCGAGGAACCUUACCUAGGCUUGACAUAUAUGUGACAGCCCUCUAAUAGGGGUUUUCCGAGUUUACUCGGACAUAUAUACAGGUGCUGCAUGGCUGUCGUCAGCUCGUGUCGUGAGAUGUUGGGUUAAGUCCUUUAACGAGCGCGACCCCUGUUGCUAGUUGCUAGCCCUUCGGGGCAGGACUCUAGUAAGACUGCCUGGGAAACCAGGAGGAAGGUGGGGAUGACGUCAAGUCCUCAUGGCCCUUAUGCCUAGGGCAACACACGUGUUACAAUGGCUGGUACAGAGAGCAGCGAAACCGCGAGGUUAAGCGAAUCUCAAAAAGCCAGUCCAAGUUCGGAUUGGAGUCUGAAAUUCGACUCCAUGAAGUUGAAAUCGCUAGUAAUCGCGUAUCAGAACGACGCGGUGAAUGCGUUCCCGGGCCUUGUACACACCGCCCGUCAAACCAUGAAAGUUGUCUGUACCCGAAGUCGUUUUGCCUAACCGAAAGGAGGGCGGCGCCGAAGGUGUGGGUGAUGAUUGGGGUUAAGUCGUAACAAGGUA
rnacentral:rRNA from 1 species